GACGAACGCUGGCGGCGUGCUUAACACAUGCAAGUCGAACGGACAGGCCCUGCUUUUGUGGGGUGCUCGAGUGGCGAACGGGUGAGUAACACGUGAGUAACCUGCCCUUGACUUUGGGAUAACUUCAGGAAACUGGGGCUCAUACCCGGUAGGAGCUCCUGCUGCAUGGUGGGGGUUGGUAAGUUUCGGCGGUUGGGGAUGGACUCGAGGGUUAUCCGCUUGUUGGGGGGGUAGUGGCUUACCAAGCCUUUGACGGGUAGCCGGCCUGAGAGGGUGACCGGCCACAUUGGGACUGAGAUACGGCCCAGACGGCUACGGGAGGCAGCAGUGGGGAAUAUGGCACAAUGGGCGGAAGCCUGAUGCAGCAACGCCGCGUGCGGGAUGACGGCCUUCUGGUUGUAAACCGCUUUCGCCUGUGACGAAGCGUGAGUGACGGUAAUGAGUAAAGAAGCACCGGCUAACUACGUG
rnacentral:rRNA from 1 species